rnacentral:rRNA from 1 species
UACAGAGGUCCCAAGCGUUGUUCGGAUUCACUGGGCGUAAAGGGUGCGUAGGUGGUGAGGUAAGUCAGAUGUGAAAGCUCGGAGCUCAACUCCGAAAUGGCAUUGGAAACUACCUUGCUCGAGGGUUGGAGGGGGGACUGGAAUGCUUGGUGUAGCAGUGAAAUGCGUAGAUAUCAAGCGGAACACCAGUGGCGAAGGCGAGUCCCUGGACAACUCCUGACACUGAGGCACGAAAGCUAGGGGAGCAAACAGG